AGUGUGGCCGAGUGGUUAAGGCGGUAGACUUGAAAUCUACUCCCGUAAGGGUCGCAGGAUCGAUUCUUACCA
rnacentral:tRNA from 1 species